rnacentral:rRNA from 1 species
UACCAGACUCCUACGGGAGGCAGCAGUGGGGAAUAUUGCACAAUGGGGGAAACCCUGAUGCAGCGACGCCGCGUGAGCGAUGAAGUAUUUCGGUAUGUAAAGCUCUAUCAGCAGGGAAAAAGAUGACGGUACCUGACUAAGAAGCCCCGGCUAACUACGUGCCAGCAGCCGCGGUAAUACGUAGGGGGCAAGCGUUAUCCGGAUUUACUGGGUGUAAAGGGAGCGUAGACGGCGGCGCAAGCCAGAUGUGAAAGCCCGGGGCUCAACUCCGGGACUGCAUUUGGAACUGUGUGGCUGGAGUGUCGGAGAGGCAGGCGGAAUUCCUAGUGUAGCGGUGAAAUGCGUAGAUAUUAGGAGGAACACCAGUGGCGAAGGCGGCCUGCUGGACGAUGACUGACGUUGAGGCUCGAAAGCGUGGGGAGCAAACAGGAUUAGAUACCCGCGUAC